rnacentral:lncRNA from 1 species
ACUAUUUCAAGUCGUAUUUACAAUUAGGAAGAUUAAAUAGAAUUAUUAUUCAUAUUACACAGAAAAAAUAAUAAAUUUCUAGACACUCUAAAUACGAUUUUGAUCUUACAUCACUCUUCCAAUUAUUUUAAACAUAAACGCAAACAACCAACCUAAUUAACUAAGAUGAAGAACCCAAAUAGGUCUACCAAUCUAAACUAAUCAACAUUCUAAUAAAUUUCUCUCGCAAAAAAAAAAGAAAAAAAAAAAGAACAAACAUAAUUCUGGAAUGACAAGCUUUUUUCUUCCACAUUUUGAAUACAUACAUUCUCUUAGUCCUA